rnacentral:rRNA from 1 species
CGUGACCUCAAAUCAGGUAGGACUACCCGCUGAACUUAAGCAUAUCAAUAAGCGGAGGAAAAGAAACUAACAAGGAUUCCCCUAGUAACUGCGAGUGAAGCGGGAAAAGCUCAAAUUUAAAAUCUGGCAGUCUUUGGCUGUCCGAGUUGUAAUCUAGAGAAGUGUUAUCCGCGCUGGACCGUGUACAAGUCUCCUGGAAUGGAGCGUCAUAGAGGGUGAGAAUCCCGUCUUUGACACGGACUACCAGGGCUUUGUGAUGCGCUCUCAAAGAGUCGAGUUGUUUGGGAAUGCAGCUCAAAAUGGGUGGUAAAUUCCAUCUAAAGCUAAAUAUUGGCGAGAGACCGAUAGCGAACAAGUACCGUGAGGGAAAGAUGAAAAGAACUUUGGAAAGAGAGUUAAACAGUACGUGAAAUUGCUGAAAGGGAAACGCUUGAAGUCAGUCGCGUUGUCCAGGGAUCAACCUUGCUUUUGCUUGGUGCACUUUCUGGUUGACGGGUCAGCAUCAAUUUUGACCAUUGGAAAAAGAUCAAGGGAAUGUGACAUCCUUGGAUGUGUUAUAGCCCUUGGUUGCAUACAGUGGUUGGGAUUGAGGAACUCAGCACGCCGCAAGGCCGGGUUUUUAACCACGUACGUGCUUAGGAUGCUGGCAUAAUGGCUUUAAUCGACCCGUCUUGAAACACGGACCAAGGAGUCUAACAUGCCUGCGAGUGUUUGGGUGGAAAACUCGAGCGCGUAAUGAAAGUGAAAGUUGAGAUCCCUGUCGUGGGGAGCAUCGACGCCCGGACCAGACCUUUUGUGACGGUUCCGCGGUAGAGCAUGUAUGUUGGGACCCGAAAGAUGGUGAACUAUGCCUGAAUAGGGUGAAGCCAGAGGAAACUCUGGUGGAGGCUCGUAGCGAUUCUGACGUGCAAAUCGAUCGUCAAAUUUGGGUAUAGGGGCGAAAGACUAAUCG